AUUGAACGCUGGCGGCAGGCCUAACACAUGCAAGUCGAGCGAGCGGCGGACGGGUGAGUAAUGUAUGGGAAACUGCCUGAUGGAGGGGGAUAACUACUGGAAACGGUAGCUAAUACCGCAUACCAUCAGAUGUGCCAAGAUGGGAUUAGCUAGUUGGUGGGGUAACGGCUCACCAAGGCGACGAUCCGUAGCUGGUUUGAGAGUAAGACCAGCCACAUUGGGACUGAGACACGGCCCAGACUCCUACGGGAGGCAGCAGUGGGGAAUUUUGCACAAUGGGGGAAACCCUGAUCCAGCAAUGCCGCGUGUGUGAAGAAGGCCCUCGGGUUGUAAAGCACUUUUGGCAGGAAAGCGGUACCUGCAGAAUAAGCACCGGCUAACUACGUGCCAGCAGCCGCGGUAAUUC
rnacentral:rRNA from 1 species